ACUCUCGGCAACGGAUAUCUUGGCUCUCGCAUCGAUGAAGAACGUACCAAAAUGCGAUAGCUGGUGUGAAUUGCAGAAUCCCGUGAACCAUCGAGUCUUUGAACGCAAGUUGCGCCUGAAGCCGCCAGGCCAAGGGCACGCCUGCCUGGGUGUCA
rnacentral:rRNA from 1 species